ACGAACGCUGGCGGCGUGCUUAACACCUGCAAGUCGAACGCUGAAGCUUGGUGCUUGCACUGGGUGGAUGAGUGGCGAACGGGUGAGUAAUACGUGAGUAACCUGCCCUUGACUCUGGGAUAAGCCUGGGAAACUGGGUCUAAUACUGGAUACGACAUGUCACCGCAUGGUGGUGUGUGGAAAGGGUUUUACUGGUUUUGGAUGGGCUCACGGCCUAUCAGCUUGUUGGUGGGGUAAUGGCUCACCAAGGCGACGACGGGUAGCCGGCCUGAGAGGGUGACCGGCCACACUGGGACUGAGACACGGCCCAGACUCCUACGGGAGGCAGCAGUGGGGAAUAUUGCACAAUGGGCGGAAGCCUGAUGCAGCGACGCCGCGUGAGGGAUGACGGCCUUCGGGUUGUAAACCUCUUUCAGCACGGAAGAAGCGAAAGUGACGGUACGUGCAGAAGAAGCGCCGGCUAACUACGUG
rnacentral:rRNA from 1 species